rnacentral:lncRNA from 1 species
CAGGACUUGGUCCCUGCCGAAGUCUUUGCUCAGACAAAGAGAAUUUUUAAAUGACACAAGCUGGACAGGCAGCCGGGAGGGGGUGUCUGCCUAGAUUAAGGCGAGCUCCAGCUUGGGCCUUCGAGGGCCCCUUGACUCCACAGUGGAGACUGAUUUCCACAACAGACUUAGGGAAAGCCCCAAGGCCACACUCCUGGGCGGGAACAGGCCUCAGCUGCUCCCCAGGGCUCCGGGAGGUCCUGGGGAGCCAUCGUUGGACAUUCCCGCUGCUCCCGCUGCCCUGCUAUGGUGCCAGCACCAGAGUCUCUGACCAGCAUUAGCUCUGCACGCCUGGCCCUCUCUGGCCGCCUCCCACAAUCCCCCCCAUGUCUUCCUCCUGCUCGCUGUCUUUACAUGGCUCCCAUGGCCACGUGACAAAACCCAGGACUUAUCCGAGGCCCUGGGAGGCCUGUCCACCUCUCCAGCCAUAUGGCCUCCUGCUUCCCGCUCCCUCCCCCACUCCGCCAGACACCUGGCCUUCUCCUCUCCCCGCGGCCCCGGGCUCCUCUCUGGCCAUCAGGCCUGGCUCUGCUCAUUCUGCAAGGCUUCCAUGCUGUACCACCAACCCCUCUCUGUCCUCCCUGCUUCAGCCUCAAAGUGACUUCUUCCUGGCCACCAGGACUCUCCGUCCUGGCCCCUGUAUGUGUUCACAUAUUCCAUCCCUUAUGUCACCACUAGUCACAAGCUACCUUCUUCCUGAGCUCAGUUCAGGUACGGGCACAUAGUAGGUGCUCAACAAGCAUAUGUUAUCUGAACGCAGGAAGGAAGAAUGAGGGGUUUAUCUCAGUCCUGAGGUCUUACUAGCUCCAAGGUCACACGGGGCAGCCAAGAUGGACCUGAGCCCCACCUGCCCAUGACUCUCCCCUCCUCCCUCUCUGCAAUGCGCUGUUCCCUGCAGGGACUCGGCUGAGCUGGCUGCCUGCAAACUCCCAGGCAGGGAGCCGGUGCUGUCGUAUCUGGAGUCUGCCUCAGAGCCUGGGCUUGGCUUCUCGGCACCCCUCCCACCC